rnacentral:piRNA from 1 species
UCACUAUGUAGCCUAAGCUGUCGUGGAGC